GAUUUUAUAUUUUAACAUAAAAUAUUAAAUUGCAAGUUUAAAGAUAAUUUAUUAUAUUUAAAAUCU
rnacentral:tRNA from 1 species